ensembl:lncRNA
GUGUGAGCCUGGUUGCUAUAGUGACUGCACCCAAUGGCUCCAUACACACGUACACAGACAUGCGCCUCACUUUUGCUGCUUAAAAUGAACAGAAAAGUCAGGCCGAAACAAAUCGCUCCCAAAUGAAAAGUAAAAGUCGUAUUGACAAAAUUCUUUCACCGUGAGUGACAGCAAUGUCUAGUCUACUGAAUUCUCAGUUUUCAUGCCUGUGGACUUAUUAUAUGGACGUGGUGACAGUGGAAAGACACCAUGCUCUUCUGAUUUUCAAAAGAACCUUCUGAGCCAUUUUAACAUUAGAGUCUAUGGAAGAGUUGGAGGGAGGAGGCUGUGCAUUGGUGACAUUUAUGAAAGAACCAUAACACCUAGGACAAUAGUAAACACAUUGGAUGAAAGAGGACAGCGAUGGCUACGUUUUGAGGGUAAAAUGGUGGCUGUAGAGCAAACGCUGUGGACACAGCAGCAUUUUAAAAAAGAUUUUAAGAUUAAUUUUUUUGCUCCUCUCACUCUAGCAGUUGAGCUCUCUCACUCUAGCCCCAACAUUCCGUCCCAUACACACCCAUUAUAAACUCUGAAACGGGUGAAAAAACAUCAUGAAACUUAAAC